rnacentral:lncRNA from 1 species
CUUCAGGCUAAGCAGAGGCGUCCAAGGAAACCAGCCCAGCCGGUGCCUUUAUCUCCAACUGCCAGCCUCCAGAAUGGGAUGAAAAAUUUACUGAAGUAUUUUAUGUUGAUGGAUGUGUUCACGGAGAGAAGGAAAAUUUGAUACAGCAGCACAGAUAAGUAAUGUCACUGGAGACAGAAUUGGAAAGGAACAUACUGCAUCCUGCAGUGGCACACCACCAGAAUUAUUGGCAUGUACAAGAUGGAAGGCUCAAUAUAUUCAUCCUUCACUGAACGAUUCAGCACCAUGUUGCUUUAAG